rnacentral:tRNA from 1 species
GGGGGUGUAGCUCAGUGGUAGAGUGUGUGCUUAGCAUAUACAAGGUACUGGGUUCAAUCCCCAGUACCUCCA